UACGGGGGGGGCGAGCGUUGUUCGGAAUUACUGGGCGUAAAGGGUGCGUAGGCGGUGCUCUAAGUCGGAUGUGAAAACUCUGGGCUCAACCCAGAGCCUGCAUCCGAAACUGGAGUGCUAGAGUUCUGGAGGGGGUAGCGGAAUUCCUGGUGUAGCGGUGAAAUGCGUAGAUAUCAGGAGGAACACCGGUGGCGAAGGCGGCUACCUGGACAGAAACUGACGCUGAGGCACGAAAGCGAGGGGAGCAAACAGG
rnacentral:rRNA from 1 species